GACGAACGCUGGCGGCGUGCUUAACACAUGCAAGUCGAACGGAAAGGCCCUGCUUUUGUGGGGUGCUCGAGUGGCCAACGGGUGAGUAACACGUGAGUAACCUGCCCUUGACUUUGGGAUAACUUCAGGAAACUGGGGCUAAUACCGGAUAGGAGCUCCUGCUGCAUGGUGGGGGUUGGAAAGUUUCGGCGGUUGGGGAUGGACUCGCGGCUUAUCAGCUUGUUAGUGGGGUAGUGGCUUACCAAGGCUUUGACGGGUAGCCGGCCUGAGAGGGUGACCGGCCACAUUGGGACUGAGAUACGGCCCAGACUCCUACGGGAGGCAGCAGUGGGGAAUAUUGCACAAUGGGCGGAAGCCUGAUGCAGCAACGCCGCGUGCGGGAUGACGGCCUUCGGGUUGUAAACCGCUUUCGCCUGUGACGAAGCGUGAGUGACGGUAAUGGGUAAAGAAGCACCGGCUAACUACGUG
rnacentral:rRNA from 1 species